rnacentral:rRNA from 1 species
AAGCUUGGUGUGAAAGACCGCAGCUCAACUGCGGGAGCGCGCUGAGAACUGUGUAUCUAGAGUUCAAGAGGGGAAGCUGGAACUCCUGGUGUAGGGGUGAAAUCUGUAGAUAUCAGGAAGAACAUCAGUGGCGAAGGCGAGCUUCUGGCUAUGAACUGACGCUGAGGCGCGAAAGCGUGGGGAGCGAACAGGAUUAGAUACCCUGGUAGUCCACGCUGUAAACGAUGUGCACUAGGUGUUGGGCCACGAAGGUUCAGUGCCGGAGUCAACGCGUUAAGUGCACCGCCUGGGGAGUAUGCUCGCAAGGGUGAAACUCAAAGGAAUUGACGGGGGCCCGCACAAGCGGUGGAGCAUGUGGUUUAAUUCGAUGGUACGCGAGGAACCUUACCAGGGUUUGACAUAUGCCGGAAUGUGCAGGAGACUGCGCAGCCCUUCGGGGCCGGUAUACAGGUGCUGCAUGGCCGUCGUCAGCUCGUGCCGUGAGGUGUUGGGUUAAGUCCCGCAACGAGCGCAACCCCUACCGUCUGUUGCCAGCAUUCAGUUGGGGACUCAGGCGGAACUGCCGGUGACAAACCNGGAGGAAGGUGGGGACGACGUCAGGUCAUCAUGGCCCUUAUAUCCUGGGCUACACACGUGCUACAAUGGUCGGUACAGAGCGAAGCAACACCGCGAGGUAGAGCAAAUCGCAGAAAGCCGGUCUCAGUUCGGAUUGGAGUCUGAAACCCGACUCCAUG